UCUCGCUUUCUCAUUUCUUAAACCCAGUCAGUGAUCUGAUUUGAAGAUUGGUUUCUCUAACUGUUGUAUAAACCAUACCCAUACAUUCAUUGCUAAAAUUAGAAGGUGAAGAUGGAGAGUGCUCUGCUGGGGUUUAAUACAAGGAAGAAGUGGGACUAGGGUUGGACGAGAGUGGAAAAUCUGAAUUUGACUGGAAUUAAUGGAUAUAUUUUCUUUGGCCGUUCAGGAUAGGUUCCGAGAAAAACAAGCACCCAUGUCUGAUUUUUGUGGUACAAGAAAAUUUGGGAGACAAGCCACCAAAAAUCUUAGGUUCUUCAAAUGGGUUCCCAGAUUCGCACUGGCUCUUCCAAACAUCUCGCAACAACCACCUACAAAACUUUCUCCCACAUAUGCGAGGCAGGAGGCCCCACUUUUAGAUCUCUCGAAAGAAGAACGAAUUAGAUUUCACGGGUACCGGUGGCAUCACCAGAUGGGACGUUUUCAUGCUUGAUGACAAUCCUCCAGGCUCCAUCCCAAACGUAAGUAUAGUAGGUGAAGAUCUGAAUAAAAGAAGCGGAAAAGUAAUCUUCUUUGAUCUCUUUCUAUGGGUCUGAAAUGGCUAGCAUGCGCAAAUGGAUUUUGAAGGUUCAUUACCAGAGUAUAAGGUAGUAACUGGUCCAGGUUAGUCUUUGAUAUCCAAGAAAUUGGAUGUCGGAGUAGAUAUGGGAGAAAGAUGCAGUGCUUCAACAGAAAGACGAGACCGCUUAAAAAGAAACAAAUCAUAGUGAGGCUAAGACAGUGAUUCCAUACAAAUUCUGUUAUGGUGUUCAUAAAACUGCGCCGAAGAACAAGUGACAUCAUGAGACGGGAAAUGUAUGGGGAGUGGGUUGAGUUAGACUUUGCGGUCACUAUCAGAUCCUCUGAGGAGGGUACCUCUCCUCCCUCCACAGUAUCCUGCCGUAAAUAAGCCAGCAGGGAUUAUACACUGGCUUGAUCACAGUAAAGAUGCAAACCAUGCACAUAAUAAGAGGUCCAAUAGCUCCAUGGGAACUUGGUGUAGAUAUGGGCAUACCUGUUGCGCAUUUAACAGCGACUAGCUUAGCCAAUUGUAUUACAAGAUCAUUAAAGUACACUUUGCUGUGAGGAACUUAAGUUGCCUCACACGGAGUAGAAAUGAUACUUAUAUACAUCAAAGAGUUGAAGAGCAGAUUAGGUUGCUCACCUAUGAGUUGUGACAAUGCCAUUACAUUCGUUUACAGGUGUGGUAUAUUGUGUUAAAACAGCGCAAAUUUGUAGAAACCAUUUCGAAUUAGUCUUUAUCACAAGAAAUUUUAUUUUAUCUUCAGAGAUCGUAAAUACAAUUGUUCCACAAAUAGUAAAUUCAUAAUUAUUCAUCAUCGGUUUCAAUAAAAAAAGA